GAUGAACGCUAGCGGCACGCUUCAUACAUGCAAGUCGAGGGGCAGCAUAAAGUACUUGUACUUUGAUGGCGACCGGCGAACGGGUGCGUAACGCGUAUGCAACUUACCUUUUACUAGAGAAUAGCCAAGAGAAAUUUUGAUUAAUGCUCUAUACACUUAUUAAUUCUCAUGAAUCUAUAAGAAAAGCUCCGGCGGUAAAGGAUGGGCAUGCGUCCUAUUAGCUUGUAGGUGAGGUAACGGCUCACCUAAGCUCCGAUAGGUAGGGGUCCUGAGAGGGAGAUCCCCCACACUGGUACUGAGACACGGACCAGACUUCUACGGAAGGCAGCAGUAAGGAAUAUUGGACAAUGGAGGAAACUCUGAUCCAGCCAUGCCGCGUGAAGGAAGACGGCCUUAUGGG
rnacentral:rRNA from 1 species